CAAUGCAAUUGGGAUCAACAAGAAGGACUGGAGACCACAGCAGCGAUCCUGCUCUUGGGUUCUUAUGGACGUGGUACCGAAGUGGGGACCACAAUCAGCGGAAAUGUUCAAGAGCGCCACCCAUAGAGAUUUCACCGCUCUUCACUACUUUAUUGCACAUCGUUGGAAAUCCAUUUCACCAGCAGAGUGAAAUCCCGCUGGCCUGUGAUGGGGAGAACAUCCACACCCUCGAGGACGUCCCCAUGGGACUUU